UACGGAGGGAGCUAGCGUUAUUCGGAAUUACUGGGCGUAAAGCGCACGUAGGCGGCUUUGUAAGUAAGAGGUGAAAGCCUGGAGCUCAACUCCAGAACUGCCUUUUAGACUGCAUCGCUUGAAUCCAGGAGAGGUGAGUGGAAUUCCGAGUGUAGAGGUGAAAUUCGUAGAUAUUCGGAAGAACACCAGUGGCGAAGGCGACUACCUGGCCUGUUCUUGACGCUGAGGCGCGAAAGCUAGGGGAGCAAACGGG
rnacentral:rRNA from 1 species